rnacentral:rRNA from 1 species
AGGUAUUCCCAUUAGUACGGCGAGUGAAGAGGGAAAAGCCCAGCACCGAAGCCUGUGGUCAUUUGAGCGAGGCAAUGUGGUGUUUAGGUCAGCUCGCGGGGAUGCCGCUCCACUCCAAGUCCUAUAAUGAGUAAGGUUACUCAGACGUGGCCCACAGAGGGUGAAAGGCCCGUGGGGGUGGAGAUUGGUGUCUCUCUGAGCAGACCUUGGAGUCGGGUUGUUUGAGAAUGCAGCCCAAAGUGGGUGGUAAACUCCAUCCAAGGCUAAAUACUAGCACGAGUCCGAUAGCAAACAAGUACCGUGAGGGAAAGUUGAAAAGAACUUUGAAGAGAGAGUAAACAGUGCGUGAAACCGCUCAGAGGUAAACGGGUGGAGUUGAACUGCAAGCUUUGUGGAUUCAGCUGGUGAGUCUGGCAUGAGCUUGGUCAUGUGGGUUGUAUGUUCGGGUCUGCUUAGCUGCAGGUCCUCGCCUUUGGUGGGGAUGCGCGUAUCACUUGUCAAGUGUUGUGCGCCCGGGCGUUGUCGAACCUGCUCGCCAGUGCAUUUUCACAGAGUGUUCACCACGACCGGCGUUGUCGUCUGGCUGUUGCGGUUAAACCGGCUUAGUAGGGUCCUUGUGGCCUUGCUGGGUCGGGAUGGCAGGUAGCCUGUUGUGCAUUUAUGUGCUUCAGGUGUAAUAGCUGACUGCAUCGGUUCUGUGCGAUACGUCGGAGACGGCGGCUUGUUGCGCUUGCGUGCGUGCUUGUUGCGCUGGCGGCUCUGAGUCUGAUUGCCUUGUUGCUUGUAAAUGCAAGCCAGGUGGUGGCUCUAGGUCGUUCGGUGUGCGGUUGCGUGCGUGGCGCUUUGAAAGGGCCCACAGUCUGUGGUGUAGUGGUAGACUAUCCACCCGACCCGUCUUGAAACACGGACCAAGGAGAGUAACAUGUGCGCGAGUCAUUGGGCGUUACGAAACCCAAAGGCGCAGUGAAAGUAAAGGUUCGGCUCGUCCGGACUGAGGUGGAGAUCCUGUCGUUUCUCACGCAUGGGUACUACCAAGCAUCGAGGCGGCAGGCGCAUCCACCGGCCCGUCCCAUGGCGUAGAAGCAGCCUCGUGCUAGCUCACCCGCCGGGGGCGGAGCAUGGAGCGUUACAUGUUGAGAACCGAAAGAUGGUGACCUAUGCUUGGCGCAGUUGAAGCCAGAGGAAACUCUGGUCAAGUACCGCAGCGAUUCUGACGUGCAAAUCGAUCGUCAAACGUGAGUAUAGGGGCGAAAGACUAAUCGAACCAUCUAGUAGCGGACCCUCCGAAGUUUCCCUCAGGAUAGCUGGCAUUGUGAGAUACGAACAGUUUGAUCCGGUAAAGCUAAUGAUUAGAGGUAUUGGGGGCGAAACGUCCUCAACCUAUUCUCAAACUUUAAAUGGGUGAGAAGCUUAACUCGCUUAAUGGGAGCUGGGCCUUGAAUGUGAGUGCCAAGUGGGCCAUUUUUGGUAAACAGAACUGGUGCUGUGGGAUGAACCAAACGUUCGGUUAAGGUGCCUAACGCGACGCUCAUGAGAUACCACAAAAGGGGUUGGUUGGUCCAGACAUGCGGACGGGGGCCAUGGAAGUUGGAAUCCGCUAAUGAGUGUGUAACGGCUCACCUGCCAAAACAACCACUGCUGAAAAUGGAUGGAGCAGGAGCGUCGGACCUAUACCGGACCGUCACUGCAAGCUGGGUCGGUAACGUGUGGUGUGAGGGCAAGCCACAUGACUCAGGCAUGGAAUGGCGGUGACGAGUAGGAGGGUCGCCGUGGUGAGCGGGAAGCUUCGGGCGUGAGCCUGAGUGGAGCCGCCACGGGUGCAGAUCUUGGUGGUAGUAGCAAAUAUUCAAGUGAGAACCUUGAAGGCCGAGGUGGAGAAGGGUUCCAUGGGAACAGCAGUUGGCCAUGGGUCAGGCGGUCCUAAGUGAUCCGGUAAAUCGGUACAGAGACGGGGUGCCUGACAUUGUCAGGAUUGCUACCAUCGUACUGUUGCACGGUAGCCCCCUGUAGCGAAAGGGAAUCGGGUUAAUAUUCCCGACCCUGCCCACGGAGAUUGAUGCAUUCUGGCUUCGGUCAUUUUGUAUCUGGCGCGGUAACGCAAUCGACCGCGGAGACGUCGGUAAGAGUUCUGGGAAGAGUUCUCUUUUCUUUGUUAGGAGUGCACCAUCCCCUGGAAACGGGUUGUCCGGAGAUAGGGGACUAGCCUCCGUAAAGCACCACCCUUCUUGUGGUGUCCGGAACGCUCUUGUCGGCCCUUGAAAAUCCGAGCGAGGCUAUAUAAUUUUCGUGGCAGGCCGCACCCACACCCGCAUCAGGUCUCCAAGGCGAACAGCCUCGGGCAUUUGAACCAUGUAGGUAAGGGAAGUCGGCAAAUUGGAUCCGUAACUUCGGGAAAAGGAUUGGCUCUGAGGGCCGAGUCAAACGGGUUGGAGUCAGAUACGUGUCGGUCAAGUUGGGGGCUGGUUUUUCUGUUACCUGUUUGCCUCGCGCGAAUAGGGUUGACGGAGUUACUGGACUCUGACCGGAUCGGUCGUGGGCGACUUCAGCUGACAGUGUUGCUUAGCAGGCGGUGUGCAUGGGCAACUGUGUACGCCAUGCGGCUUUGCUUCCUUCGUUUGGCGUUCAACGGCUAACUCAGAACUGGCACGGACCAGAGGAAUCCGACUGUCUAAUUAAAACUAAGCAAU